rnacentral:rRNA from 1 species
ACGAACGCUGGCGGCGUGCUUCACCCAUGCCAGUCGAACGGAAAGGCCCUGCUUUUGUGGGGUGCUCGAGUGGCGAACGGGUGAGUAACACGUGAGUAACCUGCCCUUGACUUUGGGAUAACUUCAGGAAACUGGGGCUAAUACCGGAUAGGAGCUCCUGCUGCAUGGUGGGGGUUGGAAAGUUUCGGCGGUUGGGGAUGGACUCGCGGCUUAUCAGCUUGUUGGUGGGUAGUGGCUUACCAAGGCUUUGACGGGUAGCCGGCCUGAGAGGGUGACCGGCCACAUUGGGACUGAGAUACGGCCCAGACUCCUACGGGAGGCAGCAGUGGGGAAUAUUGCACAAUGGGCGGAAGCCUGAUGCAGCAACGCCGCGUGCGGGAUGACGGCCUUCGGGUUGUAAACCGCUUUCGCCUGUGACGAAGCGUGAGUGACGGUAAUGGGUAAAGAAGCACCGGCUAACUACGUG